rnacentral:rRNA from 1 species
UACGUAGGGGGCAAGCGUUGUCCGGAAUCAUUGGGCGUAAAGAGCGUGUAGGCGGCUUGGUAAGUCCGCUGUGAAAGUCCAGGGCUCAACCCUGGAAUGCCGGUGGAAAUUGUCAGGCUCGAGUCCGGAAGAGGCGAGUGGAAUUCCUGGUGUAGCGGUGAAAUGCGCAGAUAUCAGGAGGAACACCAAUGGCGAAGGCAGCUCGCUGGGACGGUACUGACGCUGAGACGCGAAAGCGUGGGGAGCAAACAGG